AUUGAACGCUGGCGGCAUGCUUUACACAUGCAAGUCGAACGGCAGCGCGGGCUUCGGCCUGGCGGCGAGUGGCGAACGGGUGAGUAAUGCAUCGGAACGUGCCCAGUAGUGGGGGAUAGCCCGGCGAAAGCCGGAUUAAUACCGCAUACGACCUGAGGGUGAAAGCGGGGGACCGAAAGGCCUCGCGCUAUUGGAGCGGCCGAUGUCGGAUUAGCUAGUUGGUGGGGUAAAGGCUUACCAAGGCGACGAUCCGUAGCUGGUCUGAGAGGACGACCAGCCACACGGGGACUGAGACACGGCCCAGACUCCUACGGGAGGCAGCAGUGGGGAAUUUUGGGCAAUGGGGGCAACCCUGAUCCAGCCAUGCCGCGUGCGGGAAGAAGGCCUUCGGGUUGUAAACCGCUUUUGUUCGGGAAGAAAUCCUCUGGGCUAAUACCCCGGGGGGAUGACGGUACCGGAAGAAUAAGCACCGGCUAACUACGUG
rnacentral:rRNA from 1 species